rnacentral:rRNA from 1 species
UACGUAGGUGGCAAGCGUUGUCCGGAAUUAUUGGGCGUAAAGCGCGCGCAGGCGGUUUCUUAAGUCUGAUGUGAAAGCCCCCGGCUCAACCGGGGAGGGUCAUUGGAAACUGGGAAACUUGAGUGCAGAAGAGAAGAGCGGAAUUCCACGUGUAGCGGUGAAAUGCGUAGAGAUGUGGAGGAACACCAGUGGCGAAGGCGGCUCUUUGGUCUGUAACUGACGCUGAGGCGCGAAAGCGUGGGGAGCGAACAGG